rnacentral:rRNA from 1 species
AUGAACGCUAGCUACAGGCUUAACACAUGCAAGUCGAGGGGCAGCAUGGUCUUAGCUUGCUAAGGCCGAUGGCGACCGGCGCACGGGUGAGUAACACGUAUCCAACCUGCCGUCUACUCUUGGACAGCCUUCUGAAAGGAAGAUUAAUACAAGAUGGCAUCAUGAGUCCGCAUGUUCACAUGAUUAAAGGUAUUCCGGUAGACGAUGGGGAUGCGUUCCAUUAGAUAGUAGGCGGGGUAACGGCCCACCUAGUCUUCGAUGGAUAGGGGUUCUGAGAGGAAGGUCCCCCACAUUGGAACUGAGACACGGUCCAAACUCCUACGGGAGGCAGCAGUGAGGAAUAUUGGUCAAUGGGCGAGAGCCUGAACCAGCCAAGUAGCGUGAAGGAUGACUGCCCUAUGGGUUGUAAACUUCUUUUAUAAAGGAAUAAAGUCGGGUAUGUAUACCCGUUUGCAUGUACUUUAUGAAUAAGGAUCGGCUAACUCCGUGCCAGCAGCCGCGGUAAUACGGAGGAUCCGAGCGUUAUCCGGAUUUAUUGGGUUUAAAGGGAGCGUAGAUGGAUGUUUAAGUCAGUUGUGAAAGUUUGCGGCUCAACCGUAAAAUUGCAGUUGAUACUGGAUAUCUUGAGUGCAGUUGAGGCAGGCGGAAUUCGUGGUGUAGCGGUGAAAUGCUUAGAUAUCACGAAGAACUCCGAUUGCGAAGGCAGCCUGCUAAGCUGCAACUGACAUUGAGGCUCGAAAGUGUGGGUAUCAAACAGGAUUAGAUACCCUGGUAGUCCACACGGUAAACGAUGAAUACUCGCUGUUUGCGAUAUACUGCAAGCGGCCAAGCGAAAGCGUUAAGUAUUCCACCUGGGGAGUACGCCGGAAACGGUGAAACUCAAAGGAAUUGACGGGGGCCCGCACAAGCAGUGGAGUAUGUGGUUUAAUUCGACGCAACGCGAAGAACCUUACCAGGGCUUGACAUAUAAAGUAAUAUUUAAGAGAUUAAAUAGCUCUUCGGAGACUUUAUACAGGUGGUGCAUGGUUGUCGUCAGCUCGUGUCGUGAGAUGUUGGGUUAAGUCCCGCAACGAGCGCAACCCUUGCUAUUAGUUGCUACGCAAGAGCACUCUAAUAGGACUGCCGUUGACAAAACGGAGGAAGGUGGGGAUGACGUCAAAUCAGCACGGCCCUUACGUCCGGGGCUACACACGUGUUACAAUGGGGGGUACAGAGGGCCGCUACCACGCGAGUGGAUGCCAAUCCCAAAAACCUCUCUCAGUUCGGACUGGAGUCUGCAACCCGACUCCACGAAGCUGGAUUCGCUAGUAAUCGCGCAUCAGCCACGGCGCGGUGAAUACGUUCCCGGGCCUUGUACACACCGCCCGUCAAGCCAUGGGAGCCGGGGGUACCUGAAGUGCGUAACCGCGAGGAGCGCCCUAGGGUAAAACUGGUGACUGGGGCU